ACUUUUUUAAUAGAAAUACUGCACAAUGGGAUUUUCUGUCUUCACAACAAUGCUUAAACCGCAUCAGGGGACCACUUUUGAUGUAUGGAAAAAAUCUAAGAAACUUUGAUUUUUGAGUGUAGUUACCGUUUAAUUCAGUGAGCAUGCACUGUUUGGUUAGAAGUGUUUCUGUAUCACAGCAACGGCACAUGUGAUGGAAUUUGGAAAUCAAAUGGAUACUUGUAGUAAUACUGGACAGCGAAAAAUGAUGGGGGAGAGGGUGAAUGUGACAAAGUCCUGACUGGGCCCAGCACCGCACGUCACUGUGCCUGUUCCCCUGGCCCCGAAGAGGAACCAGUGGCAUGAUGUCACACACCUGUUUGGCUGGAGGCAGGGGCCUGGAGACUCUAGGAGCUGUGGGGUGUCAAGUUGGCACCCCUGCUACGCCCUGUGGAUGUGUCAAAAUGGCAGAUGAUGGUCGGGGUGUGUGCAGCUGCUAGGGAUGAAGAGUGCCAAGAGCGAAUGUUUCCUGCGUUUCUAGUGACAGCCUGUCUUAAUGCCUGUCCUGUGUCCCUUGUGGGGAGUGGGAUCCGGCCUGACGAGAAGGCCUUGCAAUAAGCCUUUAUCAGCCAAGCCCACACAGUACCAGGGGGCCCCGGUCUCCUCCAACAACUCAUGAUGUGGAGGGGAGAUGGACAGAGCUCCGUGGUCCUCUGGUCGAGCAUCAGAACAGGAUUCAGCCCAUUGUGCCAUUCAAAUUAAGCAGGAAUCAAAAGGGAGAGCGGAAGCUGUUGUGCCUGUGUUGUCUUGUGUUAUUUUAACCAGCUUAACUCAAGCCUCUUCAUGGACGAGUGUGCUGCAUGCUGUUGGAUGCCGAUGAUGAUAAGUGGUGGAUUGUAUGUUAAGACUGCUAAGCUGUUGGGUUGGCUGAACUGGGUUGCUGGCUCAAGUAGCUGUUGUUGUUCCUGAUUUUGGCUGAAGUUGAACCGCUUCAAUAGGUUACCAAGGAUUUUCCACUGGAAAUCGCUGACUUGGCUGUCCAUGUAUACUGUCUCUUCAUGUGACCAUAGGGACUUCUGUCUAUUUCAUGAUGUUUUCAUAAAAAAGAAAGAAAGAAAGCAGAACAACAACAAAAAGUUCAGGUGCUUAUUUCAAGUAAUAUCAAAAUAAACCCAUGGCAUGGAUGUCUAUAAUGUCCUUUUUACCAGUUAGAAUGCUAUGGUCGAUAUCUUCAAUGCCUAUUUUAUUUGAAGUGUUCCAUUAAAUAUAGACUGCUCUGUUGGCAACAUAUUUAAAAAUGAGACCUGUCCCCACUUUAAUAAUGAUGCCAAUAACAUCUUAAUACAUGCUGCAAUAAACAUACAGGCAAAGAUGA
rnacentral:lncRNA from 1 species